GGAAGAACGUAUAUUGAAUAAUGCAAAAUAAAAAAGGGAAUGAGGAAGAGGAUUAGUGAGUUAGUCUUAUUAUGUAUCUUUCAACUGGAAUCGCCACUAUAUUUCUUUUUUCAUCUUGUUUACACGUGUAGUAGUAGCCAGCAAGAAAAGAAGCACUAUAUUCCUUCUUCUCUUCAACAGUUAACUACAACGUGAUUAACAAUACCAAACGCAUGUGUUGACCCUGGCUGUGUUGUGGGCCAACCUAGAAAGAAAAUGUUUCAACCCACUGGCUCACGACCAAUCCAAUUCGAAGACGAAAGUGGAUUGAUGCCAUAAAAAAAGUUCGGGACAACUAGAAUUAUCAAGAUGAUUAAAAAAAAGGUAUAGUCGUUUGUUUACUUCAUUUCGGUCAGAUGAUUUUACUUAUGAGUCAAAGGAGUCACAUCCCAUUAGAAA
rnacentral:lncRNA from 1 species